GCCCUGGCUUGAGAGAUGCCCCAGUGAGCAUCACCACUGCCUGUAGAGAAGAGAGCACCCAGGGGUGUCAGCACUGGGCAGAAGGCCUGAGCUGGAGGACACCACUGAGGAGGCAGGGAUCCAAGGGACUCAACAGUUGCUGGAGGAAAUGAAGGAGCUCCUCUGGGUCCCCAGCUUCCUAACUCUCCAUGGAGCUGUCUUCUCUCCCUCUCUGCCGAAAUCCAGGGAGGAAAUCGAAAUGCAGAACUCAGGAGUGGGAGCCGCUGAAAUAUUGAAGACAGAAGGGACAGGCGGCCCAAGGGCGCCGUGGACCCCGCCACCACCGGAGCUCCUGAAUAUUGCACAAGGUGGCCAACUACCCCUGCUCCACCCCCCGGUCCUGGCACUGCUCUGGCUGCAGGAAGCUGUAACUCUUGCUGCUGCUUUCCAUGAGGGCGAGCAUCAUGUGUGCAGAAAGUCUUCCUGCUUUAUCCUUCCAAGUUGAGAGUGAACUCUAGGCCAGAAGGGGCCACACCUGUUAGUCAGCAGGAAGGGAGGCCUUCAGCCUAGCGGGUCAGACCCAGGCGUAGAUGCUGGCAUCCCAUACCGGGACACCUGGGUUCAGCACCUGACCCCAGCUUCUGACUCCAGUGGCCUGCACACGCAGACUAUGGGAGGC